GAUUAACGCUAGCGGCAGGCAUAAUACAUGCCAGUUGAACGGCAGCACAGGUAGCAAUACUGGGUGGCGAGCGGCGCACGGGUGCGUAACACGUAUGCAACCUACCCUAUACAGGCGAAUAACCUUUAGAAAUGAGGGCUAAUACGCCGUAGUAUUACAGAUGGGCAUCUAUUUGUAAUUAAAGAUUUAUCGGUAUAGGAUGGGCAUGCGUCCCAUUAGUUAGUUGGUAAGGUAACGGCUUACCAAGACGAUGAUGGGUAGGGGAUCUGAGAGGACUUACCCCCACACUGGUACUGAGACACGGACCAGACUCCUACGGGAGGCAGCAGUAAGGAAUAUUGGGCAAUGGCCGCGAGGCUGACCCAGCCAUGCCGCGUGCAGGAAGACGGCCUUAUGGGUUGUAAACUGCUUUUAUACGGGAAUAAUAGAGUGUACGCGUACAUUUAUGUAAGUAUCGUAUGAAUAAGCAUCGGCUAACUCCGUG
rnacentral:rRNA from 1 species